UUGGUGCUGCAGCGAUUCAAUGGCACUCAUCGCACCGCGCAGGAGUUCCGGGAGGGGUACAACAGCAUUGCGGCCGGGGAGUACUUCCUGGGCACCGACAAGCUGUACGCGUUGACUCACUCUCGCGACCACGAGCUGCUCUUCGUUGUAGAGUUUGUGGACAGGACAACACGUACGUACCAGGCACAGCGGUUCGUUUUGCAGAGCCCAACCGCUCAUCUGAAAUGGGAAAGGGAGGCAGGACACCACCCGCUACAGUUGGUACUUGUGGGAGCAGGAGAUUGAUCGCCUGCCAGCAGGAGAAUCAUGGGAGUGGGAGUCGGCUGAGAGCUGUACUUCUAAUUUGUGUGGCCCAGAGCGAUUCAUUGUUUUUCUGCUCAAGUUGAAUUUCGCUAUGCAGAACAACAGCCCGAUAAUGGGACGUCCUGCUAUUCGACUUUUCAAGCUGCUUCUGCGUCCAUCCAAUGCCUACUGGACUGUUCGAAACCCUUGAGAUAUUCUCAACAUCACAACCUUAUUUUUCUUUAGCUUGUCUGUGUUUCCGGAUAGAAAACGGAUUGCUCAUUAAUAAAUUGUAGCUCAAUGACUGAAAGGAAUUAAAUUUUACGUUUUGAUAAUAGAGGAAUUUUGUACUAAAGAAACUUUUUACUAAAACUUGAACCCUUUUAAAAUAAAAAAUAACAGUCCUAUCUAAAACAUUACAAAGAGCGACCCAAAUAAAACAAGAUGAGCUUA